ACGUGGAAGCGGAGACGGGGAGGUCUGGGGGUGCCACGCAAGUCCCUUUCCUCCCGACACGAGUGCAGUAAAGAAAAACGGUUAUGAGCGUAAAGUGACAGCCUCGGCCGAUGGGAAUAGGGGGAAGUCCGACACUGAGCAACGAACGCAUUCCCGCGCCUCCAAAACCUAGGCCGGGGGCGCUGGAAACCCUUACCGGCACCCGGCCACCGCGGCAGACGCUUGCUCCUGCCACGCCCCCCCCCCCUCCCCCGCAUCACGUGUCUGCACUCGCUUUCCUCGGAUUCCCGGAUGUGGUUGCCAAAACAAAGGGGAUUUGGUGAUGGAGGCUUUGUUAGAAGGAAUACAAAAUCGAGGGCAUGGUGGGGGAUUUUUGACAUCUUGUGAAGCAGAACUACAGGAGCUCAUGAAACAGAUUGACAUAAUGGUGGCUCAUAAAAAAUCUGAAUGGGAAGGACGUACACAUGCUCUAGAAACUUGCUUGAAAAUCCGUGAACAGGAACUUAAGAGUCUUAGGAGUCAGUUGGAUGUGACACAUAAGGAGGUUGGAAUGUUGCAUCAGCAGGUAGAAGAACAUGAAAAAAUCAAGCAAGAGAUGACCAUGGAAUAUAAGCAGGAGUUGAAGAAACUACAUGAAGAAGAAUUCCGUCAGAAAUCGCUGGACUGGGAGAAGCAACGCUUGAUUUAUCAGCAACAGGUAUCUUCACUGGAGGCACAAAGGAAGGCUCUGGCUGAACAAUCAGAGAUAAUUCAGGCUCAGCUUGUCAAUCGGAAACAGAAAUUAGAGUCUGUGGAACUUUCUAGCCAAUCAGAAAUUCAACACUUAAGCAGUAAACUGGAGCGGGCUAAUGACACUAUCUGUGCCAAUGAGUUGGAAAUAGAGCGCCUCACCAUGAGGGUCAAUGACUUGGUUGGAACCAGUAUGACUGUCCUACAGGAGCAGCAGCAAAAAGAAGAAAAAUUGAGGGAAUCUGAAAAACUAUUAGAGGCUCUGCAGGAAGAAAAGAGAGAAUUGAAGGCAGCUCUUCAGUCUCAAGAAAAUCUCAUACAUGAGGCCAGAAUACAAAAGGAGAAGUUACAAGAAAAAGUAAAGGCAACUAACACUCAACAUGCUGUAGAAGCUAUAAGUUUGGAAUCUGUGAGUGCAACGUGUAAACAGCUGAGCCAAGAACUAAUGGAAAAAUAUGAAGAACUGAAGAGGAUGGAAGCACAUAACAAUGAAUACAAAGCAGAGAUUAAGAAGUUGAAAGAACAGAUUUUACAGGGUGAACAAAGUUACAGUUCUGCACUAGAAGGAAUGAAGAUGGAAAUCUCCCAUCUAACUCAGGAGUUACAUCAGCGAGAUAUCACUAUUGCUUCCACCAAAGGUUCUUCCUCAGACAUGGAAAAGCGACUCAGAGCAGAGAUGCAAAAGGCAGAAGACAAAGCAGUAGAGCAUAAGGAGAUUUUGGAUCAGCUGGAGUCACUCAAAUUAGAAAAUCGUCAUCUUUCUGAAAUGGUGAUGAAAUUGGAAUUGGGUUUACAUGAGGUAUUGCCUCCAGCACACUGUUUACAUUCCUACUGUGUCUCAGCAUCUGUUCUCCUGGGAAUAGAACUGGUCCACCUGAACAUAUGAUCUGUGCUGCUGUUGGUGCAGGAGGACAGGAGGGAAAUAAGCUGGAAGCCAUGGAUGUGGAGAGUCUGGCUUCAAGAUGGAGCUUGUUUACCUGCAGGUAGGGCUCCACCUCUGCACCCCAUUGAGUCCCCCGCCUGGCUGUGGUACGAAGAGCCACCCUGCAUACCCUCACCCAGUAGUGAAGUAGGCCGAGGCAGCCAGUGUGGGGUCCAGCGAGUGACAUGCAUCAUCGAAGGUGCUUAUUAUUUUGAUGAAACACAAUACAUUUCUUUCAGCCCGUAAAAUCAAAGGUGUGCAAAAAGGCUGUUUUCAGGGUGUAAAACACCCCUCGUUUCCCUGUGGUGGUGCAUAACUAUUAUGCCUCUGGGGCCUUUGUGCAUUUUUCGGGCAUGAGUGACACGAGGCUGACUGGGUGGCCUUGGCACCUUGUCUCUUUAGAGAAAAAGGAGACAGUGCUUCUUUCCGAUUCCCUAUAAAAACCAGUUUUUUGUUGAAGACCUGCCUUUCCCGCUAGUGCCUAAUACCAAUUAUGUCUUUCCAGAGAUGGUGAGAUUGUUCUGAAAGGAUUUCUUGGAAACCUUGUCUUAACAACCCUAUCGUCCUAGUGUGAUAAGAAUAUAUGAAUGGGAGGCCAUUGUGGACAGUAAUAGGGCCGGGAGGCUUCAUCUCCCCAUGGAAAGUAUAAGACACAAACAGUAUAGCUGAGAUCAUGAGGACCUGGUUUGUAGCAGGUCGUGGGAAAGGAGAGAAGGUGGAGUUGGGAGAGCAGGUGGGAGGUGAGACACAUCCAGAAGGGACUGGGUUUCAUCACCAGUGACUGCCAUGAGUCUAACUUAGUUAUCUGGUUGGAUAGGGAUGCAUUUACUGAACUGGGGACCCAGGAGGAGUUGGGAGUAAUUUGAGGGAGAGAAGUAACUCCAGUUUAGCAUCUUUUGACUCGGAGAUGCCUGUGGGACACCCCAAAGAGGACAUCCCCGUUAACUUUCAGUUUCCUUUAGUUCUGCUUGCAAAAUCAGACAGAACCAGCAUCCUGUCAGAGGCUGUUCUUCCCCUUUGGUCCCUCUGCUGGGCUUUCUCCAGCCCCUUGCCCUCAGGCAAGAGAGGAGCCAGCAGUGCAGUCUGCCAGGGGCUCCAGGGGCAGGCUCUUAACACAGCAGGGCCCUUCAGAUGUUCCACAGCAGGGCCCUUCAGAUGUUCUGUAACUGACAACCCCAGGCCCACUGCCUGCCAGCAUCUGUUCACAGAGACACGGCAUCACAAACUCUCCGGACUGGAAGGGACAUUGGAGGUCAUCCACUCCAGCUUUGGGGAUGGCAUUUUCAGACUGUUCUAAUAACUCAAGAGCUACUCCUUCUUUUGUGUGGAAGACUGUUUCUUCUGACUUCCUCUUAAUAUGCUGCCGGGUCUCCUUCCUAAGGAGAAGCAUGCUGGGCCUCGUUUUUGUGGAUCUAGCAGCGAGAGACAUGACGAAGCCAGAUUUGGGAACACAAGUUCUUUUUGUCCUUCACACUACAGCUACGAGAAUGGUCUCCAUGGUUACAGCAGCUUCUCAGAAAUGUCUGGAUUUUUCAUUUUCUGUAUUUCUCUAAAUGUCUAGUUUAUGAAUAAUCUGCUUAGGUGACCGGCUGGAAAGUUUCUGCAUGUAUAUGAAUAUCAAGAAGUACAUAUUUAUAUACAUUCAAAAGAAAAGUAGGCUGAUAGGCAUUUUUGGUAAUUUUUUUUCUCCCACUGUAAAAAU
ensembl:lncRNA novel transcrpt